UUAGGUGCUUUCAAUAUACCAUAGACCGCAACGGGGAAGAUCCCUUAAUCAUGUUGCCGAGGUGUGAGUACGAAAAUCACAUAUUUUAUCUCUCUCGAUGAGAGAGUGUGGAUAUAUUGUU
rfam:Clostridium sp. CAG:288 genomic scaffold, scf24